rnacentral:rRNA from 1 species
GUGGGGAAUAUUGGACAAUGGGCGAAAGCCUGAUCCAGCCAUGCCGCGUGUGUGAAGAAGGUCUUCGGAUUGUAAAGCACUUUAAGUUGGGAGGAAGGGCAGUAAGUUAAUACCUUGCUGUUUUGACGUUACCGACAGAAUAAGCACCGGCUAACUUCGUGCCAGCAGCCGCGGUAAUACGAAGGGUGCAAGCGUUAAUCGGAAUUACUGGGCGUAAAGCGCGCGUAGGUGGUUCAGCAAGUUGGAGGUGAAAUCCCCGGGCUCAACCUGGGAACUGCCUCCAAAACUGCAUGACUAGAGUACGGUAGAGGGUAGUGGAAUUUCCUGUGUAGCGGUGAAAUGCGUAGAUAUAGGAAGGAACACCAGUGGCGAAGGCGACUACCUGGACUGAUACUGACACUGAGGUGCGAAAGCGUGGGGAGCAAACAGGAUUAGAAACCCGAGUAGUCC